AGCACUUUCCCGCUAGGCGCCCGAUGCGCACUGCAGAGCUCAGGGUCCGGCAGCGCCUCGCAGGCCCGCACCCCGGGCUCUGGCCGCGCCCGAGUACACGUGCGCCUCAGGCCCCGCCCACAGGAGCCCUGGCCACGCCCCUCGCUCAACCACUGCGCGUCCCGUGGACCCUGAUGCGGUGAUCUCAGGAGACCCUCAGCUGCUGCGGUUCCUGGGUUCCUGCUGGACUUCGUCUCCUGUGCCAUCAUUAAAGGUUUCACCUCUGCUGCUACCAUCACCAUGGACUUUGGGCAGAUCCAGUUUGAUCCUGAAGGCAUCUGUCACUUCUGGAAUCCACUCCAACGACGAGGAGGAGAGUCACUUCAAUGCCUCUGAAAUGGAACCUUCAGGAGUUUUUAGUUAUAAAUCUUGGAAUCUGGAAGAUUCAAUUCAUGAUUGCAAAAUAUUUAUUUCCUAAUAUUUUGUUUUGUCAUAAACUGAUGCUUUUGAAAGAGAUCUCAUUAAUUGGGCUGUUUGACGUCUCUCUGGGGUGGAGCAGUAAUAAACGCGAGUCCACAUUCAUGUUCGGGGUGCAGAUCCACAUGAUCCGAACUCUUCCACUUCUUUUCCAUUUGAUGGCUCCCUGUGUUCUCCUCCCCCUGAGCUACGAUGAUUCUUUUAUGACACUUGUGAAUAUGUUUUUUUAAACUUUAGGUGCCUUUUUUAAAAAAAUUAAAACAUAGAAAUCCUCAUGGAUGUUUCAGGAUGUCCUAGUACCUAGAACAUUCGCUACUGGAAUUCCUCUGUGUUUUCAUUGCCCUGGUUGGGAUCCCUUAAAGUGAGUGAACGAGACUCUGUCCUCCCUUCUGGGGGAUGUUUUCUGUGUUGCUGAUUCACCGUGCAGUCUUUAGUCAUCAUUACAGCAUCAGUGAGAUAUAGUUCACAUGUAAUACGAGUCACACUUUAAGGUGUGUAAAUCAGUGUUUUUAAUAUUCUCACAGAAUUGUGCAAUGUCACCACAAUCGAUUUUGGAAGCUUUCCAUCACUGCUCCAGAAGAAACACUCUACUCGUUAGGAGACAGUCCCAUUUCUGCUAAGCCCUCAGACCUAGGCAAACAGAAAUUCAGAUUCUGUUUCUGUGGAUUGGCCUAUUUUGAACAUUGCCUAUAAAUGGAAUCAUACAAUGCGUGGCCUUUUGAGUCUGGCUUCUUUCACU
rnacentral:lncRNA from 1 species